GUCCCUUCGGGGACAUCCGAUAAAAUCGAAACGAUGAGAAGAUUAACACCAUGCGCAAGGAUGAGACACAUCGAGAAAUGAUCCAAAUUUUA
rnacentral:snRNA from 1 species